GGGGAUUGAGGGUCAGAUGGUUCAGUGUCAGAUGAAAGUUCGUAGUAAGGUGGGGAUUGAGGAGAUGGUGAUGAUGAUGGUGAGGUGGUUUCAUUUAGCAUUUCUGCUUAUGAAAUAGCUAAAGUUGUGAUGGAAAGGUUGAAUUUUUGAGAUGGUGGGUUAGAGGAUCUGGGGUUGAGGGAGGAGUUUCAGCAGUGGUGUAUAUAGGGUUUGUUU
rnacentral:lncRNA from 1 species